GCCACCUUAGCUCAGCUGGUAGAGCAAUUCAUUCGUAAUGAAUAGGUCGCCGGUUCGAUUCCGGCAGGUGGCU
rnacentral:tRNA from 2 species